CAGCCUGAACCGCCGAGGGAAUCUGGGCUUAUGAAACUUUGAGGACGAGUUGUUCAUUUUGUUCUGCUCUGAAAGGGCUUUAGUGAUCACAGUUCCUCUCAGUUCAAGAGGUAUUUAAAGGAAAGGUGCCGCUCUGAGGUCUCUUAUUUCUGCUGGUAGUACAAACGCCGCCGGAGAGAGUCUGAAGAGAGCUCGGCUUUAAAGACGGAAAUGUGCUCUAAGCUUUUUGAAGUCCUUGUAGUGCAGGUAACAGGUAAGAUAGAAACUUUCAAACAUGGAAAAUAAGGAAAUAAUUAGUCGACAAAUGAAGUUUUUCAAUGCUGAUAAUAGGAGGAUGUGAUUUAAUAAUAGAAAAUUAUCUUUUCAUGCACUUCAUGUUUUCUUGGCCGGUCUCUGUUGUUAUGAAAACGGAUGAGACUUCCUUCAGGGUCUGCAGACAGCAUUACCCCAAAUUUUUACCUCAUCCGGAAUGGCAGCGAUUUUUACCGUCAGCCAAUUCCUACCAGAUCUGUUAGUGAGGCGAAUUACGUUGUGGAUUACGAACAGCAGGAAUCGCAAGAACUCACAAAAACCUGCGGAUUCAAAUGCGAUUGCGCGAUAACAAGUUGUCUCUAUAAAGACAGACACAGAGGCUUUCUACUUCUAUUUAUAAAAUCUGAAUCCUCUCAUCAAUGGUGUCAUGGGGGUGAAAUGACGUCUAAAAACCUUUCACUUGUUUGUCCGUUUGCAUGGUGUGAAAUACGAUCCUCCUGAAACACGGAGUGUUUUAUUUUGAAAAGAAGCCGGAUGUUUUAUUUUGUAUUUGGGCUCGACUUCCUCUCCAGCACGGGUUUAUCUGUGCUGAAUUUAUCCACCAUGCUGCGGGAUCCAAAAAAAAAUUGAACUCUUGUGAUCAGCGAUCAGAGUCCGGCGAUCCGCAAGGGAACAGAAAGAAGCCGGUGAAAAUUGACACGUUAACUUGAAUGUCUACGAUCGGAGGAUACGGCCUUGUCGUAGACGUGCAGGAUGCGUUGGAAAUUGGUGGUCAGAUUCUCUCUUUAGCCGUCAGCUGGCUGCGACAUGUGAACAUGAGGGAAGAAUUCUGUUCAUUUAGCAAACAAGGCCGAUGAUCUCACCCUCCAUCCCCCCCUAAACUGCCCUCACCCUUCUGUCAUGACUCAUGUUAAUAUUCAUGCAAAUGAAGCUGUGAGUCACCCAUAAUCUUGAUGCUGCAGAGAAGAUGAUGCUCUCCACCGUCUCCAUGCAGCAAACAUGUAGCUGCUCCUGGUGCGUACAUGUGAGAAAAAAACACCCUCGCCUUUUCUCAUUGAGAUUCAUCUCAGUGGAGCUCGUGUUACUGCUGCCGACACAGUCACCUCUGCAGCUCCAAUAAGCUCCGCAGAGUCACAUAGAGCAGCAGCGGUCGACUCGCACUGCCGCCCGAGGCUGGACAGACACAUCAUAACGUGGGAAGAGAUCAUGGAGCAUCAGUUUUACGUCUUUACUGAGCUGUGAAAUGAAAGAGAGAUGCAGCACAACCUCCAAACACUGCUCCUUUCAUUUGAAGAUGACAUUUGCAGCCCAUCUUAAUAAACGAGGAUGCUCAGUUAGACAAAUUUAAAGUAAAAUCUCUUGAAAUUUUUCCAAAAUUAGCGGUUAUUUUGCUAUCAGCUGUCAUUAUAAACAUUAAUAUUCAGUAUUUGAGCUUUGCUGUUCCAAUAAGUUAGAUGAAUUCACUUAUUAUAUUGGUAAUGGGGGCCAAAACCGUAGUUCUUUAAGUGGCCACUUGAGGCUCUCUUCAAACUUCAGUCUUCAACUUUGCAGCAGACAUUGACAUGUUUAGAACCUGAUAUUAUUGUUCUUCUUUGGGGUUUAUUAAUGAAGGAGGAUUACCCCAAAUUUCCCCCACGUGCAGAACAGCGGCGAAAAGGCCGUCGGCGCCGAUCACUGCUGAUCGUUUCCAUUCAAGUUAUGGUGUCACGUUCCACUGGCUUCUGCCCGGCCCCCUGCUAUUCAACGAGCUGUGUUGCCAAUCGCUGGGGUUCUAUUACCGAAAGCCACAGCAUGCCGCAUAAAUUCAGCACAGAUUAACCCGUGCUGGAAAGGAAGUCGGGCACAGACACAAAGUAAAACAUCCGGCUUCUUUUCAAAAUAAAACACUCCCCAUUUCGGGCAGAUUGUAUUUAACGCCAUGCAAACGUGGGCAGGGACAAACAAGUGAAAGGUUUUCAGACAUACUCAUAAAAAGUUUAGUUUAUUAUCUGUUUUGUAGUUAAAGAUAAAUCUUGCACUUACCCAUGGAUAAUUCCCAAUCUCCACAAAAGUGUUUAAUCUACUGAGACAACUCGUUAUUGCACGAUUGCAUGUGAAUUCACAGUACUCACAAUUCCCUUUGUCCAAAAUCCGCCACAAAAUUCCCCUCACAAAUGCAUCCGGUAGGAACUGGUGGACGGCGAAAAUUGCUGCUGUUCAGCAUGUGGUGGAAAUUUGGGGUUACAUUCAAAAUAUAUUAUCUGAUUUAAUCCUCCUUCCUGUUUCUGUAGCUAACAAACUGGGCAAAAACAGCUUAUACUUUAAAAACUUUGAUAGGUUCUCCUGGAGCGCUCGCCAAAUUUGUUUCAGUGUUAUUCCACCUCUGCGUUCGUCUGCACCUAUACCCUUUGGAGAAUAAUCAGGCAGCCAAUCAGAACAGCAUCUAAUUAACAUAGUCUAAUAUAACAUAGUCUAAUCCCCGCCCACUCUGAUCACUACAAGCAUACUGAGAGUAGAAACUGAGAGGCUGCAGUCCAUUUUGCAUCAGUGAUUGCAUACGACCUUUGACCUCUGUGAUUAUCGUGUUGUUGGCUUUGAAAUUUUUGCGUGCAAAUAUCGGACAAUAGAGUUUUUACUGAUUAAACAUGGAUUUGUUUUGGUUUACUGUGGUUUGUAUGAGGGUUAGGAAGUUUGUCAGGUAGUGAUGAGACCAGCUGUUUUAAAUUACUGGGUUCAUGUUACUGUGAACCGAAUUGAUAAACAGCUCAAUUAAUCAAUAUAUCGGACAUUUCUGGUGUUCAUACCAUCUGUAAGCUUCUAACAAUGGACUCCUUGGGGAAUCUGACCGACGGAUAUUUGGACUCAGAAUAAAACAGAUAAUUUUAAAAUCAUCUUUACUUCUGGUUUCAGUUUAUGUCAGAUGUUUGAACAAAAGGAAACUAAAAAAAACAUGAUCAGGCUCUGAAACAGAAGACGCACACUGACUUUGUUUGAAUCGUCCGUCUCAGUUUCAGAGGGAAACAAUCGAUCCCACCUCUGAGGGCCUUUUAUUACAUUAUUAGUCAAAGGUUCGAGUGGUUCCCUCCUCUGUUGUUCAAAGUUGUGUUAUUAAAUGCCUCUCACAUUCACCGCGGUCGUUCUCACCUUAUUCUGUUUCAACCAAAUGCUUCGUCAGUGCCGCAUCGUCUAAUUUAAUUUCCGUUUGUCCCCAUCGUCUCAGCUUUCCUUCACUCCUCUACAUCCUCACUGCCGUCCUUCCCUUUUCUUUUUUUUGUGCGUCUGGGUUUCUUGUCGGCACGCCGUGUUCUGAUCCACGGGGCUUUGAUCUUUGUCUGUCACCGCCGACAGACGGCGUGGCCAAUUUAAUUACUGGAACAAUCAGACGGAAAAUUACAGCAGGCGAGAGGUGGCUGCUGGAGAGAAGAUAGCUCACUUCCACAGAGGAAUCCGUGGACUGACUCGACCACCUGACUCGUUUCCUCUCGUGUUACAAUGAAAAUUAAACUCAUUGUAAUCCUGAAUCAUCCAAUUAUCCAAUCAUUACGAGCCCGUGCUACAUGCUCGCUCAUCCGCAAAUUAUAGCCUUUGUUUCAAAGUAUGCUCGCACAAAUGAUCCCGACAAAUAUCAUAAUCAGGGGUUUCAAAGAACAUGUAGGAUGUUUCUGGGGUCCUUCUUUAGGCUGCAAUUAUCACGAUUAUUUCAUUAUGUGCUGACAGAGGACCUUGUGUUUUCAGGAACACUCUGACACUCUCCUGUCGAUCUCUUGGAAGUGGCGUUUUUUUAGGUCUCACAUACGGGCCUUUUUCUGUCUCACCAACUACAGAUGUUAAACUCAGCAGUGUCAGUCAAGUGUCUCUUCUGUGUUUAUAACUAUUCAAUAAAAAAUACCCCACAUGAUAAUUACGAUAGAGUACCGUAAAAUUUCAAUCCGGACUAAAUAUCCUGUUUCAUUCAUCGGGGAAGUCUUCUAAAAUGGCAACUGGACUUCUUGGGUUAUCUGGAAGACAUUUUGCCUCUUCUCCAGAAGACGUCUUCAGUUCUAAGAGGGACUGGGUCUAGAGCUGAACUAUAUAGCCUAGGGAGAUAACAUCAGUGUAAUGGGGCGCUCACACCAAGCGCGAGUAAAAUCAUCUACCCGCCAAUUCAACCAGCGGGAUCAAGUGAUAGACAAAGUUUUUUUACAAUUUACCAGGUAAGCCUACCUCCUCAUUCACUUGCUCCUUUUUAUUCCGGUUUCGAUAACUGAAAGAAAAGGUAUCAUAUAAUUCCGGGCACCCGAUCAGUUUGUCCUCCAAUUUAGAUACCAGUGAACAACCGGCCGUUUUCAUACAUCAUCUGGCAACCUUCGUGCUGAUUAGUUAUCGCGACGCAAAUAUCUGCUCAAGUUGAGAUAUUUUCAGCUCCCGCGCAAUUUGCGUCUUCGCGAAUGAUUUUACUCGCGUUUGGUGUGAGGAGACAGUCAAGGUAAAUUUUAGUUUUUUCAAGUUUAGUCAAAAACUUUGAUUUCUGCUCUCGGGUCCUGCCUUUAAUUUUUCAUUCAAACCUGCCAACCGCUGAUUUUUUCCACUUAUAUCUAUUUUUAAAAAAAGGGUCAAACUGAUGAAACACUGACUAUGAACAACGACCUCAUACACUUCAGUCGAUCCCUCCCCUUUAAGGAUGUUGACUUAAACAAAACUCCAUCCUCUAUGAACCUGCUGUUUAUUAAAUGCCAGCGACUGAUCAUGCGUCCCCUGACAUUUCCACCGGCCUGUUCAAUAGUCAGAGCGUGCAGGUCGAGGCCGCGGCGGUGUCUUCUUUCACGUGAAGAGGCUUCGGUGGCACCAAAAGAAAGGAUUGUGGAUUUACAGCCUUGGUUCUCGGAGAGGUCAACCAUUACCUGGGUCUGAACACGGCUCAGGAGGGAAGGGGUUCAUGUUUAUGAGUAUGAAGUCUGAAAAUAACAAAAUACUUAAACCAUGGCUUGGUUGAGCCUCACAGAGGUCACUGUGGGUGGUCUGGUUCAGGGUCAGGGGCCCUGAUAUGUGGAUUUAACAUCCUGUCUAUAGGUCAAAAACAGCCGUGAUACGCUCCUUCAUUUUAAAAGCUAGGCUGCAGCCGCUUCCUGGAACCGAUUCAGACCAGUUUGGACCAGCUGUGAUGGUUUCACUUCCCAUUUUAAAGCCCCAGAGUCCUUGAUAGUGAUGGUGAGGGAUGAGGACUGCAUCAAUCUAACAGUGAGGACAGUACAGACAGCUGUGCCUGUAUUGACGUGAAGGAGGAAGGGGACAUCAAUCGAGCGGUCGCGGGCUGAACGGGGCCAUUAAUCUCUGGGGGGCCAAGGGCGCAGCUCCUGUUAGACCUUUGGUCACUGGUUCCUAUGGCAACCAUAACUGAAAUAAAUAUGUGCUACAGUGCAUUUAACAUUAGAGACCCCUCGCCCCUGCUCCUGAACCUGAACUCACACGCUCAGCUGGACUGGGAGUCAGGUGUGCGGUUGGUAUUCGGCGUGCGUGGCGAGGCGUCGCUGACUUCAGCUCAUUACGGAGGGAAAUGAGACCCGGCCCUCACCCAUCAUUACUGUAAUUGGUUAAACUGCAGCUACAUGUAUAUCUACCCACCUGCUGCUUAUUCAGCAACGACAAAAUCCCCCGGAGAAAAAAAAAAGCGGAAAACUCUUAUUGUGAAGUAAAUGACAGGCGAGUUUUCUCCAGGGAGGAGAAGAUAAGCACUCUAUAUUUAUAUUUCUAUAUUCCUCCUACAGUGACAGACUCAGACAUACUGGCAAUUUGUGCACCAGUUACUAACGCUGCAGGCUAAAAGGAUGAUAUUGUCAGAUUUUUGUGGAACUUAAAGUGACGUGAAGCACAAUAACCCUGAAAACGGGAAAAACUGAAAUGCAGAAAGCGUUAAAAACUGUCCCAGACGAGGGGAGAAGAUGUCAGCCUUUCUACGUCAUGACCUUUGGCUACGAUUGAUUGUAACUAAAAUUGUUUGAUUCUGAAGCGCUGAAUACUGGAUUAAAUAAAAAGAAUAAAGUUGAAUUUUAUCAGCUGAAGCAUUUUGAACUGACUGGAUAGAAACUGUGCUGUUCAGAGUUUGAACUUUUAAGAGUGAUUCUUGUUGAAACCUUCAUUUUUCAUGAAUCCAUCUGUGGUGCAUUUGUCACAUACCAACAGGAGACUUACUUACAUUAGACCACACAUUUCUGAGCGAUAUUUAAACUUCACUCAGCAACAACUCUGAAGAAACAGGAUCCAUAAGGAGGACUCCUGUGUUUUCCAGCACAGCAGCUGACUGUUGUCUUUUAACUGUCCAUCCGUCUUCUAUGACUUAUCCAGAGACGGGUCGAGGGGGCAGCAGCCGAAGCAGGAAGCCCCACUUUCUCUAGCGUGUCCUGGGUGUUUCCCCUGGUCUCCUACCGGUGGGACAAGCCCUGAACACCUCACCAGCCAGGCAUCCGGGAGGCAUCCUGGUCAGCUGCUCAAGCCACCUCAUCUGACUCUCGACACAAAGGAGCAGCAGCUCGACUCUGAGUUCCCCUGGAGGACUGAGCUUCUCACUCUAUCUCUGAUGGAGAGCCACUCUGUGGAGGAAACUCAUUUAGGCGGCUUGUACCCGAGAUCUUGUUCUUAUGGUCACUAUCCAAAGCCCCUGACCGUAGGUGAGGGUAGGAAAGUAGAUCAAUCGGUAUAUCCAGAGAUUUACCUUUUGGCUCAGCUCCUUCUUCACCACGACAGACCUGAGCAGCUGCACCAAUCCACCUGUAGAUCUUCUGCUCCAUUCUUUCCUCAUUCGUGAACAAAACCCAGAGAUACUUGGACUCUUCUACCUGGGGCAGGAUCUCACCCCUGACCCAAAGAGGCCACUCCACCUUUAUCCAGCGAUGUGGAGGUGCUCAUUCUCAUCCCAGUCAUUUCACUCUUGGUUGCGAACCGAAGGUCAUGGCCUGGUGCCACCAACAGGACCACAUCAUCUGCAAAAAGCAGUGACCCAGUCCUGAGACCACCAAAGAGGACCUCCUCAACACCCUUGCUGAACCCAGAAAUUCUGUCCAUGAAAGUUCUGAGGAGGAUCGGUGACAAAGAUCAGCCCUAGUGGAGUCCAACCCUCACCGAAACAAGUCCGACUUACUACUGGAUCUGUAGACCAAGCUCUGGUUCUGAAGGUCUCUUAACUGACCUCCCUUAAGUUACAUUGGAAGAGUUUUUAAAGUAUUUUCUAGCUGACCAUGCCUCCUUCACAUGCUGACACAAUGAUUGAUAAAAACGAGUUGAACAGAUCUCCUUUAGGAUCUUUACUACAGCGACCCAUUGAAAUGGUUCGAUGUCCCACUUCUGGGCCUCAGCCCUGCAGGUGAGAACUCAUAAAUUAAGACCUGAUCCUUUAGUCUGAAGUGUAGUCCACAAAUACAACUUGUAGCUGCCUCAAAGAUGUUAAAUCAAGCAGCUCGAUCUCUAAUUUUUACACACAUGAAAAACACUUCUCCUCCCACUUGUAGGGCCUCUUUUCAGCCAUUGUGAAAAGCGAAGAAGCAUCUGUAGUGUUCUCACCCCUCCUCUGGCCUGGAUUGAUUUUAUGUAGUGUUCCAAGAGAAGAGCGGUAUAAUGAGAUCACAGCAUGCAUUUUUCAUGGACAGGAUGAAAGCGAUACAGACGCGGCGCAGAAUCUACAUUUCAAAUAAACUGCAGCCCACGUCCCUCCUAAAAAAAAAACCCUCAGAGUUCAUCCCUCAACGCUCUGCCUGUGAAGACAGUAACCUUUACCAACAGCAGGACCGAAACUGAGAGAGGAAACAGAGAGAGGAAACAGAGAGAGGAAACAGAGAGGCGGUUGAAGAUCAUCAUUAACAGGUCUUGGUGUUUGAACUGCGAGAAAAACAGAUUUUAACUUUAGAUGUAAAGAUCGAUGGAGGAUUUGUGAAGCUAAUGGUGUUUUUGGAUUCACUACCCAAGGUAGACCCUGGAUUUCCACCACAUUCGGAAUGGCUUAAAUCUGUAACAGUGGCGAUUUUACGCCAAUUCUUAACGGAUCUGUUUGUGAGGUAAAUUUCUUGGUGAAUUAUGGACAGCAGGAACUGUGAGAACUCACAAGAACCUGCAGAUUCACGUGCAAUCACGCGAUAACAAGUUUGUCAGGUUCAAGUGGACAUAUUUAACAAACUCGGAGGAUUCAGGAACACAGAAGAGACCAAAAGACGUUUUACUUGCACAAGGAGAGAAUGGCUGAGGAGAACUUCUCGAGUACUCGGUCAGUCCCUCUCUGCCAGUUCCUCUCCAACAGCACUCUUUUAUUUCAUGAUUAUGCAUAGUCAUCCAUAUCUGCUACCUCAGCAACGGUCACUUUUGCAAUACUUUCGGUUGACCUUUACAAAAGAGGAACAUGAUUAUUUUCAUAAUUUUUUGCAUAUGUAUGGCAUUAUUUUUAAGGAACAUAGGUGUUUUCACAUCUUUGCACAACACAUGGUACAGAGUUCAACACUUUCAUAUCCCCUUCUGCAGAACUAAAAGAUUAAGAGUUUAAGAUCAUUCUUCAACGAUUCAAAUCAUACUGAAAUCCAUCUGAAAGAAUUAAAUCACAUAUUAAUCAUAUAGAAUCAUCUAAAGCAUGAUAACUUUUUUAUAGAUUUUUCCAUCAAAGUUGUCUUUAGCCACAGAGGCUAACCAUAUAAGCAGUAGAUUGUGUCCUUCCAGAGGAGGAAAUCUACUUCUAGACUUCUAGAAUCAGCAUCUCCUCAUCCAUGGUGUCAUCAGGGUGAAAUGACGUCUAAAAACCUUUCACUUGUUCGUCUCCGCCCGUUUGCAUGGUGUGAAAUACGAUCCUCCUGAGUGUUUUAUUUUGAAAAGAAGCCGGAUGUUUUAUUUUGUGUCUGUCCACUUUGGCAGCAGCUGUGUACAAAGUUUAACAUUUUAACAAGAAACCCAAGUGGGAUUGGCUCAUUUUCGGAGCAGCCCCCCUAGUGGUUGUUCUAGUAACUGCAGUAUGUGAUGCUUUAGCAGUGUUGGGUCUAACCUGAGAGCUGUCAUCUGUCGGCGGCCUGAAAAUAGACUUGCUGCCAUUUCCUGUGGCUGUGUGACAGUGUGCGAGGGGAGACAGCUCAAUAACAGUCAUUACAUUCUGAUAAAGGCGGUAAUUUCAUUGCAGGAGGCAGGAGCUCUGUGUGUGUGUGUGUGUGUGUGUGUGUGUGUGUGUGUGUGUGUGUGUGUGUUGGGCUCGCCCUCCAGGACUUCACCAUGCAGAUGUCCUGAUGUAAAGGCACGUUUUCACACUCAUGCCUCGCUCUCAGCGCGCUCAUUACAGCGAGACAUAUCAUGGUAACCUUUAGCUAGCCUGAGGACGUACCGCUCUUUCGCCGACUUUACAACAUAUUUUCAAAAACGGUAAAAUAAUCUAUCCUGAGAUCUCGUGGAGGGUUGGUGGUACGAUCCCGGCUCCCUUAAUCCACUUGCAGUCGUAUCCCUAGGCAGAACAUUGAAAUCUAAUUGCUCCCAGUGGCAUAGCUGGUGUGACUGAGUGUUAACUGGAUGAGUUGACACUGAUGGCCACUUAAUAUAGCAGCCUCUACCACCAGUGUAUAACCUCUGGCUAAAACGCUACAGGCAUAAAGCACGAGUGCCACACACAAACACAGAUGCAGAUAUAGAAUUGGGAUUUUAAUCGUAUUAAAGAUUUGAUGACGUAAGAAAAAAUUAGCAGGAAACUUCUAUUUUUGUGGCGUUACCAUUGACUGAACGGAGAGGUUUAAGUUCAAUUCAUCAGAAGUUUAUGCCCACAUCUCUUAAUAUAGCUGGUUUUGUGGAGACUGUGGUCUGAGCUCAUGACUCCUCCGAGGUUUAUUAUCCACCACAGCUCCACGGACUGGAACAAUCUCUGCAGCUUCUCAUUUGCUGAGGUUAUUUCUGAGGGUUUAUUUCUGCAGAAGUCCUCGUACUCCGCUGGCAUGUAUCCUGAUUGAGCGACAGUUUGUGCAUUUCAAUUUCAUCCUGACAGGAAAAAUAGCCACUUCUGGUGGCUGGGGGGGUUGUGACAGUUUUGAUAAAUCCUGAUCAUAACCUCUGUCCUCUGGGAAUUUGCAAAUGAGUCUGUCGUUGGAAGAGAGAGCAUUUCUUACCCCGUCCCCUCUGGUUGCUGCUCAACUCGCCAUUUCUGUUUUCAUUUUAUAGUCGGGCUGUGACCCGAUUAAAAACAUUCAUCAAACUAAUCAGAGGUUUGUGGUGAAUUAAUUGCAAUUAAUCGCAUUUUAAUUGCAUGUAAAUAUUUGAUCUGAGAACAGUGAGAAUCAUUACUUUUUAAAUGUUAAAUUUUUUUAAAGAUGAUACUUAACCAAGACCAACAGAUCAGCGUUUUUUUAUGCCAUAAUAGAGUCCAGCAAUUUCAGGAUGUUAAUUUUUCUGACGUGGACUUACUCAUCUUAGCUCUGAAUCCACUCAUCUGGUCGAGUGUGGGUCGCUGUACUCGGAGUCGGACUGGCAUUAGCUUCCACGCUAGCUGCAACAUGUUUAGCAUUCAGGUGAUACCGAAGGGGUUAAGGUUAGGGUUAAAGGAAUAUUCCGGCGAAAAAUUAAGUUAGGGUCAAACACACCGUAACACAGAGUUAGACACCCCGUCGAGGGGUGGAUGUUGCCGACUGCUUGCUUCUCUAGUUAUACCAACUUUAGUAAAGACCACAGGAUAGCAACACAGAGACGCUCAACCAAAACGCCACUCUAUAGCCACAAAUAAUGCUCAGAACAGCACCUAACUUCAUCAACAGGACAUAUACAAACAAGCGGCUGCUGGAAGAGAGUAGGUGAGUUGUGUUUAGUCUCUCUGCUAAAGAAUUUAGUCAAAGUUAAAAAGACGUUUGGUGUCUAGUACUAUGGCUGUGACCCUCUAUGUCCUGUUGAUGAAGUUAGGUGCUGUUCUGAGCAUUUUUUGUGGCUAUAGAGUGGUGUUUUAGUUGAGGGCGUGGCUCUCUGUAUUGCUAUCCUGCGGUCGUUACUAAAGUUGGUAUAACUAGAGAAGCAAGCGGUCGACAACAUUCAUCUGUUGAGGGGGGGUCUAACUCUGACCCUAAAUUCGCCGGAAUAUCCCUUUAAGGUUAGGGUUAGGGUCUGGGCUUCCAUCCAUCAAAAAGGCCCAUCCACGCCUGAGCCAAUCAAAGCACAUUUAUCCGCGACCUCGUUCAUUUUUCUAUGCGCAGGGUGGGACUGGAAUCACUGCUGCACUCACGCUCGGGGACGCUGGUAUAAGCGGUAAUUUGGGGUUACAUUCAAAAUAUAUUAUCUGAUUUAAUCCUCCUUCCUGUUUCUGUAGCUAACAAACUGGGCAAAAACAGCUUAUACUUUAAAAACUUUGAUAGGUUCUCCUGGAGCGCUCGCCAAAUUUGUUUCGGUGUUAUUCCACCUCUGCGUUCGUCUGCACCUAUACCCUUUGGAGAAUAAUCAGGCAGCCAAUCAGAACAGCAUCUAAUUAACAUAGUCUAAUAUAACAUAGUCUAAUCCCCGCCCACUCUGAUCACUACAAGCAUACUGAGAGUAGAAACUGAGAGGCUGCAGUCCAUUUUGCAUCAGUGAUUGCAUACGACCUUUGACCUCUGUGAUUAUCGUGUUGUUGGCUUUGAAAUUUUUGCGUGCAAAUAUCGGACAAUAGAGUUUUUACUGAUUAAACAUGGAUUUGUUUUGGUUUACUGUGGUUUGUAUGAGGGUUAGGAAGUUUGUCAGGUAGUGAUGAGACCAGCUGUUUUAAAUUACUGGGUUCAUGUUACUGUGAACCGAAUUGAUAAACAGCUCAAUUAAUCAAUAUAUCGGACAUUUCUGGUGUUCAUACCAUCUGUAAGCUUCUAACAAUGGACUCCUUGGGGAAUCUGACCGACGGAUAUUUGGACUCAGAAUAAAACAGAUAAUUUUAAAAUCAUCUUUACUUCUGGUUUCAGUUUAUGUCAGAUGUUUGAACAAAAGGAAACUAAAAAAAAACAUGAUCAGGCUCUGAAACAGAAGACGCACACUGACUUUGUUUGAAUCGUCCGUCUCAGUUUCAGAGGGAAACAAUCGAUCCCACCUCUGAGGGCCUUUUAUUACAUUAUUAGUCAAAGGUUCGAGUGGUUCCCUCCUCUGUUGUUCAAAGUUGUGUUAUUAAAUGCCUCUCACAUUCACCGCGGUCGUUCUCACCUUAUUCUGUUUCAACCAAAUGCUUCGUCAGUGCCGCAUCGUCUAAUUUAAUUUCCGUUUGUCCCCAUCGUCUCAGCUUUCCUUCACUCCUCUACAUCCUCACUGCCGUCCUUCCCUUUUCUUUUUUUUGUGCGUCUGGGUUUCUUGUCGGCACGCCGUGUUCUGAUCCACGGGGCUUUGAUCUUUGUCUGUCACCGCCGACAGACGGCGUGGCCAAUUUAAUUACUGGAACAAUCAGACGGAAAAUUACAGCAGGCGAGAGGUGGCUGCUGGAGAGGAGAUAGCUCACUUCCACAGAGGAAUCCGUGGACUGACUCGACCACCUGACUCGUUUCCUCUCGUGUUACAAUGAAAAUUAAACUCAUUGUAAUCCUGAAUCAUCCAAUUAUCCAAUCAUUACGAGCCCGUGCUACAUGCUCGCUCAUCCGCAAAUUAUAGCCUUUGUUUCAAAGUAUGCUCGCACAAAUGAUCCCGACAAAUAUCAUAAUCAGGGGUUUCAAAGAACAUGUAGGAUGUUUCUGGGGUCCUUCUUUAGGCUGCAAUUAUCACGAUUAUUUCAUUAUGUGCUGACAGAGGACCUUGUGUUUUCAGGAACACUCUGACACUCUCCUGUCGAUCUCUUGGAAGUGGCGUUUUUUUAGGUCUCACAUACGGGCCUUUUUCUGUCUCACCAACUACAGAUGUUAAACUCAGCAGUGUCAGUCAAGUGUCUCUUCUGUGUUUAUAACUAUUCAAUAAAAAAUACCCCACAUGAUAAUUACGAUAGAGUACCGUAAAAUUUCAAUCCGGACUAAAUUUCCUGUUUCAUUCAUCGGGGAAGUCUUCUAAAAUGGCAACUGGACUUCUUGGGUUAUCUGGAAGACAUUUUGCCUCUUCUCCAGAAGACGUCUUCAGUUCUAAGAGGGACUGGGUCUAGAGCUGAACUAUAUAGCCUAGGGAGAUAACAUCAGUGUAAUGGGGCGCUCACACCAAGCGCGAGUAAAAUCAUCUACCCGCCAAUUCAACCAGCGGGAUCAAGUGAUAGACAAAGUUUUUUUACAAUUUACCAGGUAAGCCUACCUCCUCAUUCACUUGCUCCUUUUUAUUCCGGUUUCGAUAACUGAAAGAAAAGGUAUCAUAUAAUUCCGGGCACCCGAUCAGUUUGUCCUCCAAUUUAGAUACCAGUGAACAACCGGCCGUUUUCAUACAUCAUCUGGCAACCUUCGUGCUGAUUAGUUAUCGCGACGCAAAUAUCUGCUCAAGUUGAGAUAUUUUCAGCUCCCGCGCAAUUUGCGUCUUCGCGAAUGAUUUUACUCGCGUUUGGUGUGAGGAGACAGUCAAGGUAAAUUUUAGUUUUUUCAAGUUUAGUCAAAAACUUUGAUUUCUGCUCUCGGGUCCUGCCUUUAAUUUUUCAUUCAAACCUGCCAACCGCUGAUUUUUUCCACUUAUAUCUAUUUUUAAAAAAAGGGUCAAACUGAUGAAACACUGACUAUGAACAACGACCUCAUACACUUCAGUCGAUCCCUCCCCUUUAAGGAUGUUGACUUAAACAAAACUCCAUCCUCUAUGAACCUGCUGUUUAUUAAAUGCCAGCGACUGAUCAUGCGUCCCCUGACAUUUCCACCGGCCUGUUCAAUAGUCAGAGCGUGCAGGUCGAGGCCGCGGCGGUGUCUUCUUUCACGUGAAGAGGCUUCGGUGGCACCAAAAGAAAGGAUUGUGGAUUUACAGCCUUGGUUCUCGGAGAGGUCAACCUUUACCUGGGUCUGAACACGGCUCAGGAGGGAAGGGGUUCAUGUUUAUGAGUAUGAAGUCUGAAAAUAACAAAAUACUUAAACCAUGGCUUGGUUGAGCCUCACAGAGGUCACUGUGGGUGGUCUGGUUCAGGGUCAGGGGCCCUGAUAUGUGGAUUUAACAUCCUGUCUAUAGGUCAAAAACAGCCGUGAUACGCUCCUUCAUUUUAAAAGCAAGGCUGCAGCCGCUUCCUGAAACCGAUUCAGACCAGUUUGGACCAGCUGUGAUGGUUUCACUUCCCAUUUUAAAGCCCCAGAGUCCUUGAUAGUGAUGGUGAGGGAUGAGGACUGCAUCAAUCUAACAGUGAGGACAGUACAGACAGCUGUGCCUGUAUUGACGUGAAGGAGGAAGGGGACAUCAAUCGAGCGGUCGCGGGCUGAACGGGGCCAUUCAUCUCUGGGGGGCCAAGGGCGCAGCUCCUGUUAGACCUUUGGUCACUGGUUCCUAUGGCAACCAUAACUGAAAUAAAUAUGUGCUACAGUGCAUUUAACAUUAGAGACCCCUCGCCCCUGCUCCUGAACCUGAACUCACACGCUCAGCUGGACUAGGAGUCAGGUGUGCGGUUGGUAUUCGGCGUGCGUGGCGAGGCGUCGCUGACUUCAGCUCAUUACGGAGGGAAAUGAGACCCGGCCCUCACCCAUCAUUACUGUAAUUGGUUAAACUGCAGCUACAUGUAUAUCUACCCACCUGCUGCUUAUUCAGCAACGACAAAAUCCCCCGGAGAAAAAAAAAAGCGGAAAACUCUUAUUGUGAAGUAAAUGACAGGCGAGUUUUCUCCAGGGAGGAGAAGAUAAGCACUCUAUAUUUAUAUUUCUAUAUUCCUCCUACAGUGACAGACUCAGACAUACUGGCAAUUUGUGCACCAGUUACUAACGCUGCAGGCUAAAAGGAUGAUAUUGUCAGAUUUUUGUGGAACUUAAAGUGACGUGAAGCACAAUAACCCUGAAAACGGGAAAAACUGAAAUGCAGAAAGCGUUAAAAACUGUCCCAGACGAGGGGAGAAGAUGUCAGCCUUUCUACGUCAUGACCUUUGGCUACGAUUGAUUGUAACUAAAAUUGUUUGAUUCUGAAGCGCUGAAUACUGGAUUAAAUAAAAAGAAUAAAGUUGAAUUUUAUCAGCUGAAGCAUUUUGAACUGACUGGAUAGAAACUGUGCUGUUCAGAGUUUGAACUUUUAAGAGUGAUUCUUGUUGAAACCUUCAUUUUUCAUGAAUCCAUCUGUGGUGCAUUUGUCACAUACCAACAGGAGACUUACUUACAUUAGACCACACAUUUCUGAGCGAUAUUUAAACUUCACUCAGCAACAACUCUGAAGAAACAGGAUCCAUAAGGAGGACUCCUGUGUUUUCCAGCACAGCAGCUGACUGUUGUCUUUUAACUGUCCAUCCGUCUUCUAUGACUUAUCCAGAGACGGGUCGAGGGGGCAGCAGCCGAAGCAGGAAGCCCCACUUUCUCUAGCGUGUCCUGGGUGUUUCCCCUGGUCUCCUACCGGUGGGACAAGCCCUGAACACCUCACCAGCCAGGCAUCCGGGAGGCAUCCUGGUCAGCUGCUCAAGCCACCUCAUCUGACUCUCGACACAAAGGAGCAGCAGCUCGACUCUGAGUUCCCCUGGAGGACUGAGCUUCUCACUCUAUCUCUGAUGGAGAGCCACUCUGUGGAGGAAACUCAUUUCGGCGGCUUGUACCCGAGAUCUUGUUCUUAUGGUCACUAUCCAAAGCCCCUGACCGUAGGUGAGGGUAGGAAAGUAGAUCAAUCGGUAUAUCCAGAGAUUUACCUUUUGGCUCAGCUCCUUCUUCACCACGACAGACCUGAGCAGCUGCACCAAUCCACCUGUAGAUCUUCUGCUCCAUUCUUUCCUCAUUCGUGAACAAAACCCAGAGAUACUUGGACUCUUCUACCUGGGGCAGGAUCUCACCCCUGACCCAAAGAGGCCACUCCACCUUUAUCCAGCGAUGUGGAGGUGCUCAUUCUCAUCCCAGUCAUUUCACUCUCGGUUGCGAACCGAAGGUCAUGGCCUGGUGCCACCAACAGGACCACAUCAUCUGCAAAAAGCAGUGACCCAGUCCUGAGACCACCAAAGAGGACCUCCUCAACACCCUUGCUGAACCCAGAAAUUCUGUCCAUGAAAGUUCUGAGGAGGAUCGGUGACAAAGAUCAGCCCUAGUGGAGUCCAACCCUCACCGAAACAAGUCCGACUUACUACUGGAUCUGUAGACCAAGCUCUGGUUCUGAAGGUCUCUUAACUGACCUCCCUUAAGUUACAUUGGAAGAGUUUUUAAAGUAUUUUCUAGCUGACCAUGCCUCCUUCACAUGCUGACACAAUGAUUGAUAAAAACGAGUUGAACAGAUCUCCUUUAGGAUCUUUACUACAGCGACCCAUUGAAAUGGUUCGAUGUCCCACUUCUGGGCCUCAGCCCUGCAGGUGAGAACUCAUAAAUUAAGACCUGAUCCUUUAGUCUGAAGUGUAGUCCACAAAUACAACUUGUAGCUGCCUCAAAGAUGUUAAAUCAAGCAGCUCGAUCUCUAAUUUUGUGCGUUUUACACACAUGAAAAACACUUCUCCUCCCACUUGUAGGGCCUCUUUUCAGCCAUUGUGAAAAGCGAAGAAGCAUCUGUAGUGUUCUCACCCCUCCUCUGGCCUGGAUUGAUUUUAUGUAGUGUUCCAAGAGAAGAGCGGUAUAAUGAGAUCACAGCAUGCAUUUUUCAUGGACAGGAUGAAAGCGAUACAGACGCGGCGCAGAAUCUACAUUUCAAAUAAACUGCAGCCCACGUCCCUCCUAAAAAAAAAACCCUCAGAGUUCAUCCCUCAACGCUCUGCCUGUGAAGACAGUAACCUUUACCAACAGCAGGACCGAAACUGAGAGAGGAAACAGAGAGAGGAAACAGAGAGGCGGUUGAAGAUCAUCAUUAACAGGUCUUGGUGUUUGAACUGCGAGAAAAACAGAUUUUAACUUUAGAUGUAAAGAUCGAUGGAGGAUUUGUGAAGCUAAUGGUGUUUUUGGAUUCACUACCCAAGGUAGACCCUGGAUUUCCACCACAUUCGGAAUGGCUUAAAUCUGUAACAGUGGCGAUUUUACGCCAAUUCUUAACGGAUCUGUUUGUGAGGUAAAUUUCUUGGUGAAUUAUGGACAGCAGGAACUGUGAGAACUCACAAGAACCUGCAGAUUCACGUGCAAUCACGCGAUAACAAGUUUGUCAGGUUCAAGUGGACAUAUUUAACAAACUCGGAGGAUUCAGGAACACAGAAGAGACCAAAAGACGUUUUACUUGCACAAGGAGAGAAUGGCUGAGGAGAACUUCUCGAGUACUCGGUCAGUCCCUCUCUGCCAGUUCCUCUCCAACAGCACUCUUUUAUUUCAUGAUUAUGCAUAGUCAUCCAUAUCUGCUACCUCAGCAACGGUCACUUUUGCAAUACUUUCGGUUGACCUUUACAAAAGAGGAACAUGAUUAUUUUCAUAAUUUUUUGCAUAUGUAUGGCAUUAUUUUUAAGGAACAUAGGUGUUUUCACAUCUUUGCACAACACAUGGUACAGAGUUCAACACUUUCAUAUCCCCUUCUGCAGAACUAAAAGAUUAAGAGUUUAAGAUCAUUCUUCAACGAUUCAAAUCAUACUGAAAUCCAUCUGAAAGAAUUAAAUCACAUAUUAAUCAUAUAGAAUCAUCUAAAGCAUGAUAACUUUUUUAUAGAUUUUUCCAUCAAAGUUGUCUUUAGCCACAGAGGCUAACCAUAUAAGCAGUAGAUUGUGUCCUUCCAGAGGAGGAAAUGUACUUCUAGACUUCUAGAAUCAGCAUCUCCUCAUCCAUGGUGUCAUCAGGGUGAAAUGACGUCUAAAAACCUUUCACUUGUUCGUCUCCGCCCGUUUGCAUGGUGUGAAAUACGAUCCUCCUGAGUGUUUUAUUUUGAAAAGAAGCCGGAUGUUUUAUUUUGUGUCUGUCCACUUUGGCAGCAGCUGUGUACAAAGUUUAACAUUUUAACAAGAAACCCAAGUGGGAUUGGCUCAUUUUCGGAGCAGCCCCCCUAGUGGUUGUUCUAGUAACUGCAGUAUGUGAUGCUUUAGCAGUGUUGGGUCUAACCUGAGAGCUGUCAUCUGUCGGCGGCCUGAAAAUAGACUUGCUGCCAUUUCCUGUGGCUGUGUGACAGUGUGCGAGGGGAGACAGCUCAAUAACAGUCAUUACAUUCUGAUAAAGGCGGUAAUUUCAUUGCAGGAGGCAGGAGCUCUGUGUGUGUGUGUGUGUGUGUGUGUGUGUGUGUGUGUGUGUUGGGCUCGCCCUCCAGGACUUCACCAUGCAGAUGUCCUGAUGUAAAGGCACGUUUUCACACUCAUGCCUCGCUCUCAGCGCGCUCAUUACAGCGAGACAUAUCAUGGUAACCUUUAGCUAGCCUGAGGACGUACCGCUCUUUCGCCGACUUUACAACAUAAUUUCAAAAACGGUAAAAUAAUCUAUCCUGAGAUCUCGUGGAGGGUUGGUGGUACGAUCCCGGCUCCCUUAAUCCACUUGCAGUCGUAUCCCUAGGCAGAACAUUGAAAUCUAAUUGCUCCCAGUGGCAUAGCUGGUGUGACUGAGUGUUAACUGGAUGAGUUGACACUGAUGGCCACUUAAUAUAGCAGCCUCUACCACCAGUGUAUAACCUCUGGCUAAAACGCUACAGGCAUAAAGCACGAGUGCCACACACAAACACAGAUGCAGAUAUAGAAUUGGGAUUUUAAUCGUAUUAAAGAUUUGAUGACGUAAGAAAAAAUUAGCAGGAAACUUCUAUUUUUGUGGCGUUACCAUUGACUGAACGGAGAGGUUUAAGUUCAAUUCAUCAGAAGUUUAUGCCCACAUCUCUUUAUAUAGCUGGUUUUGUGGAGACUGUGGUCUGAGCUCAUGACUCCUCCGAGGUUUAUUAUCCACCACAGCUCCACGGACUGGAACAAUCUCUGCAGCUUCUCAUUUGCUGAGGUUAUUUCUGAGGGUUUAUUUCUGCAGAAGUCCUCGUACUCCGCUGGCAUGUAUCCUGAUUGAGCGACAGUUUGUGCAUUUCAAUUUCAUCCUGACAGGAAAAAUAGCCACUUCUGGUGGCUGGGGGGGUUGUGACAGUUUUGAUAAAUCCUGAUCAUAACCUCUGUCCUCUGGGAAUUUGCAAAUGAGUCUGUCGUUGGAAGAGAGAGCAUUUCUUACCCCGUCCCCUCUGGUUGCUGCUCAACUCGCCAUUUCUGUUUUCAUUUUAUAGUCGGGCUGUGACCCGAUUAAAAACAUUCAUCAAACUAAUCAGAGGUUUGUGGUGAAUUAAUUGCAAUUAAUCGCAUUUUAAUUGCAUGUAAAUAUUUGAUCUGAGAACAGUGAGAAUCAUUACUUUUUAAAUGUUAAAUUUUUUCAAAGAUGAUACUUAACCAAGACCAACAGAUCAGCGUUUUUUUAUGCCAUAAUAGAGUCCAGCAAUUUCAGGAUGUUAAUUUUUCUGACGUGGACUUACUCAUCUUAGCUCUGAAUCCACUCAUCUGGUCGAGUGUGGGUCGCUGUACUCGGAGUCGGACUGGCAUUAGCUUCCACGCUAGCUGCAACAUGUUUAGCAUUCAGGUGAUACCGAAGGGGUUAAGGUUAGGGUUAAAGGAAUAUUCCGGCGAAAAAUUAAGUUAGGGUCAAACACACCGUAACACAGAGUUAGACACCCCGUCGAGGGGUGGAUGUUGCCGACUGCUUGCUUCUCUAGUUAUACCAACUUUAGUAACGACCACAGGAUAGCAACACAGAGACGCUCAACCAAAACGCCACUCUAUAGCCACAAAUAAUGCUCAGAACAGCACCUAACUUCAUCAACAGGACAUAUACAAACAAGCGGCUGCUGGAAGAGAGUAGGUGAGUUGUGUUUAGUCUCUCUGCUAAAGAAUUUAGUCAAAGUUAAAAAGACGUUUGGUGUCUAGUACUAUGGCUGUGACCCUCUAUGUCCUGUUGAUGAAGUUAGGUGCUGUUCUGAGCAUUUUUUGUGGCUAUAGAGUGGUGUUUUAGUUGAGGGCGUGGCUCUCUGUAUUGCUAUCCUGCGGUCGUUACUAAAGUUGGUAUAACUAGAGAAGCAAGCGGUCGACAACAUUCAUCUGUUGAGGGGGUGUCUAACUCUGACCCUAAAUUCGCCGGAAUAUCCCUUUAAGGUUAGGGUUAGGGUCUGGGCUUCCAUCCAUCAAAAAGGCCCAUCCACGCCUGAGCCAAUCAAAGCACAUUUAUCCGCGACCUCGUUCAUUUUUCUAUGCGCAGGGUGGGACUGGAAUCACUGCUGCACUCACGCUCGGGGACGCUGGUAUAAGCGGUAUACCUGAAACUCGUCCAGUGAGAAACGUUUCGUAAAAUACAGUAGGUGUGAUAGUUUAUCAAAUAUUUUUAACGAGAUAAUGUUACUGUAAUUAAUUGAUCGCAUUUAAUGCGUUAAAGUCCCAGCCCUAUUUUAUAGCUAACUCAUUGAAAUGCUGAUUCCUCGUUUGUCUCAUUUUUACACUGCUUUGUCUCCACUUAUUACUCUCUCUCUCUCUCUCUCUCUCUCUCUCUCUUUUUCUCUCUAGUUGAAAAGCAGAUUCCUCCGUUCGCUCGCCUCAUGUCUCAGCAGCAUGUUUGGGUGGAUGUUCACGCUGUAAAUGCAUCAGUUAACUCAUGUUCGACACUCCCCUCUGCCCGCUGGAUCACACAUCUCUGAGUAACUCGCUGUCACAACAUAUUUGUGCACUAACAACACACACACACACACACUCCUCUGUCAUGUUCAGGAUUGGUGUGUCUCUUCCUCUGUGGCCUAACAAGAGAUUACUGCUCAAAAAUAAGCAAGAGCAGAAGCUUCACAGGCAGACAGAGGAGUCAUAUUAUCAAGUGUCGUGUUUUAACGUGAUGUUGUGAUGUUUUUAUUAAGAGGUAGAUGUGAUCAGACAAAAAAAUCCAAAAAACUGGUAAGUCUUAAAAGAAGAAUAACAUCCAAACAAUUAGGAAAAUUUAAAAUGACCAAGUAAUCUAGAACAGAACAGCCUUUAUUGUCAUUGCACAAAAUCAAUCAUUUAGAAUUAAGAUUAUAGAUAUACAAUAAAAAAGACAUAUUGCACUAUUGCCCAUAAAGCUGUUUUUCAGUAAAGCUUUUAUCUCAGUAAAAAAAAAAAAAACUGACAGAAAUGUGGUCUUUAAAGACAGAUGUGACUCUGUCGUGGAAAUCGCUGCAUGCCGUCAAAAUCACAUCCAUCACAUGCUGUCUAUGAUCAGAGUUUGUUGUCUGUAUAACUAACUGCUGUUAUAAAAUCAUCCUUUCUCUUUAUUUAGGUUAUUUGAUGCCCCUUUAGAUAACUUUAGAUCAUGUUUACAGUAUUUUACCAUUUUUUUUUCUGAUCCAUUUAUUCAUUAAGUCUAGCAUAUCUGUCAGUCUUUAUUCAUUCUAGACUUAACUUCAUAUUUUAGCUCUCGUGUAUGAUUUAUUGUCUGUCUCUGUGUUUUAUGUGUUUCUGCAAAUAUACUCACUCUGAAUUAUGGAUUCUCUCUCUCUCUCUCUCUCUCUCUCUCUCUCUCUCUCUCUCUCUCUGCUGUUAUUGUUCUUUCCUUCAUAUGAGAGAAUUUUGUAAAAUCAUCAGUCUCACCACUUCACUGCUUUCAGGGCUUGCAGUGAAGAUCCUCCAGGAUGCAGUUAAGUGCAGUCAGUAUGCAUCCUUGGCAUUGAUCGCAGGUACUUAUAAUUUCACAGUAUUGACAGGCAGUAAAUACUUCUCCUGUUGUGUACUGACGGAGGACUGACGGAGGACUGACGGAGGGAGGGGAGGGGAGCCGUGCAGUCAGGGAGAUGGAUGCCGACAGGGACCGACGACCGACGCUCUGAAUGUUCAGGAAUGUAAAUAUAACACACCUCCCCUCCCUCUCUCUCCGCCAGCAGCUCCUCCUCAUCCUGCCGGAGCUCUAACAGUGAUGGAGAUCACCAUGGCAACAGAGUUUCUACCUGAAAGCGAGGCUGUGGAGAAACUGGGAGAGGAGGAGGGAUGGAGCGGCUCAUAACAGACUGUGAUUUAUGGAGGUCUGAGGAGAGGACAUUUACAACCUGUCACACAUAUGUGAGCACACACAGAGACAGGGGAGGGAGAAACAGGCUGGCGUUCGCUCUGUUUUUUCAGGCUUCAUGUAAAAAUACAGCACACUCGUAUUUAUUCUUUCUGCUGCUCUGCUGUGGACAUUUCUGUCAAUUUUUCCUAACUGUAACACAACAUAAUUGUACUCUCACUAACCUCCAGAAUAUUUACACAAUAAACUUCUUUAAAUAUCUGAAAAA